AUGUCACCAAGUUGCAGCCAUACCAAAGUGCAGACAUUUAAAUAUUUUAGAACAGAACAAUUAGAUGAUUUUAAUUCUGAGUGCAUAAAUGCUUUGGUUAAUGGUUUAGAAAUGCAUUGCGUAUGUAGUUAUGUUAACAUGUUUGCUAGAGGGAUCAGAAUGGUCUUUGAGUCGUUCAAAACUGAAGGGAGCACCGAGGUAUCACAUUUGCAAAAUCAUGCAUAUGCAGGAGCACGGCAGUCUAGCGACCUAAAUUUCUCCCCAACUUAUGUCUUUUUGUUCAGUCCAGAAUUUCAGGUUUCCCGUGGUUUCUGUUGCCAAGGUUUUAUCUUUAUUUUCGUGCUGCGCAGAUGA
rnacentral:rRNA from 1 species